rnacentral:rRNA from 1 species
UACGUAGGGUGCGAGCGUUAAUCGGAAUUACUGGGCGUAAAGCGUGCGCAGGCGGCGCGUUAAGACAGGUGUGAAAGCCCCGAGCUUAACUUGGGAAUUGCGCUUGUGACUGGCGUGCUGGAGUGUGGCAGAGGGAGGUGGAAUUCCACGUGUAGCAGUGAAAUGCGUAGAGAUGUGGAGGAACACCGAUGGCGAAGGCAGCCUCCUGGGCCGGCACUGACGCUCAUGCACGAAAGCGUGGGGAGCAAACAGG